CUUGCUUCUCUGAUGUUAGCGGCGGACGGGUGAGUAACACGUGGAUAACCUACCUAUAAGACUGGGAUAACUUCGGGAAACCGUAGCUAAUACCGGAUAAUAUUUUGAACCGCAUGGUUCAAAAGUGAAAGACGGUCUUGCUGUCACUUAUAGAUGGAUCCGCGCUGCAUUAGCUAGUUGGUAAGGUAACGGCUUACCAAGGCAACGAUGCAUAGCCGACCUGAGAGGGUGAUCGGCCACACUGGAACUGAGACACGGUCCAGACUCCUACGGGAGGCAGCAGUAGGGAAUCUUCCGCAAUGGGCGAAAGCCUGACGGAGCAACGCCGCGUGAGUGAUGAAGGUCUUCGGAUCGUAAAACUCUGUUAUUAGGGAAGAACAUAUGUGUAAGUAACUGUGCACAUCUUGACGGUACCUAAUCAGAAAGCCACGGCUAACUACGUGCCAGCAGCCGCGGUAAUACGUAGGUGGCAAGCGUUAUCCGGAAUUAUUGGGCGUAAAGCGCGCGUAGGCGGUUUUUUAAGUCUGAUGUGAAAGCCCACGGCUCAACCGUGGAGGGUCAUUGGAAACUGGAAAACUUGAGUGCAGAAGAGGAAAGUGGAAUUCCAUGUGUAGCGGUGAAAUGCGCAGAGAUAUGGAGGAACACCAGUGGCGAAGGCGACUUUCUGGUCUGUAACUGACGCUGAUGUGCGAAAGCGUGGGGAUCAAACAGGAUUAGAUACCCUGGUAGUCCACGCCGUAAACGAUGAGUGCUAAGUGUUAGGGGGUUUCCGCCCCUUAGUGCUGCAGCUAACGCAUUAAGCACUCCGCCUGGGGAGUACGACCGCAAGGUUGAAACUCAAAGGAAUUGACGGGGACCCGCACAAGCGGUGGAGCAUGUGGUUUAAUUCGAAGCAACGCGAAGAACCUUACCAAAUCUUGACAUCCUUUGACAACUCUAGAGAUAGAGCCUUCCCCUUCGGGGGACAAAGUGACAGGUGGUGCAUGGUUGUCGUCAGCUCGUGUCGUGAGAUGUUGGGUUAAGUCCCGCAACGAGCGCAACCCUUAAGCUUAGUUGCCAUCAUUAAGUUGGGCACUCUAAGUUGACUGCCGGUGACAAACCGGAGGAAGGUGGGGAUGACGUCAAAUCAUCAUGCCCCUUAUGAUUUGGGCUACACACGUGCUACAAUGGACAAUACAAAGGGCAGCGAAACCGCGAGGUCAAGCAAAUCCCAUAAAGUUGUUCUCAGUUCGGAUUGUAGUCUGCAACUCGACUACAUGAAGCUGGAAUCGCUAGUAAUCGUAGAUCAGCAUGCUACGGUGAAUACGUUCCCGGGUCUUGUACACACCGCCCGUCACACCACGAGAGUUUGUAACACCCGAAGCCGGUGGAGUAACCUUUUAGGAGCUAGCCGUCGAAGGUGGGACAAAUGAUUGGGGUGAAGUCGUAACAAGGUAGCCGUAUCGGAAGGUGCGGCUGGAUCACCUCCUUU
rnacentral:rRNA from 1 species